rnacentral:misc_RNA from 1 species
AAGUCGUAACAAGGUCUCCGUAGGUGAACCUGCGGAGGGAUCAUUAACACGUUUUAAAACACGUUUUAACUAUACCAACCAACCACGUGAACUAUUUAACACUCCUGGAAGAGAAAGAAUUCUGUCUCCUCUCACUAAUGAUGAGUCCGCAAGGACGGUGAGUUUAGACUAACAUUGCAGUUCAGAGCUGACUUGUACAGACCUUUCACUUCUGGGCUUAGCUCCUCUCAUCACUGGAGCGAAAAACACCCCUUUCACCAUUUCUAUAACCAUUGACUGAUCUUUUUCUUUGCAACAUAAGAAAAAACUAUAAUCAAAUAUCUAAGCACAACUCUUAGCAACGGAUAUCUUGGUUCUC